CAUCUUCUGUUUCUGAAAGAGCUUGUGUAGGAUUUGUAUUACCUCUUAAAAUGUUGGAAUGUUAAAUGUAGAAGUCAUCAGGGAAGCUAUCUGGCCCCAGAGAUUUCUUCGUGUGAAGCACCAGAUAUAUAUGAAGAGUGUGGGGGAUAGUGCACAUAAGAGGAGUUGCGCUUCACAUUCCUAUUUGGUCACCAAAAGCCAACUCGGACAUCAUUUCUUCUUGGAAGGCAUCUCCACAGGGUGAGGACCUACACUGUGAAUAGCAUAAAGUCUUCAGGGACUAUUCCUGCUUGUGUGAAAGUUUGGUUGAAGCAAAUUUGCAGAUUUAUCCUUCAAGCUCUAUUUGAAAUCAGCAGCAACCAGUCUGCGAGUAGGAAGAAGGUCGAAGCGGGAAAAGCGAAGCGCCGUGUAGACCAACCUCUCCUUUCCUUUGGGGAGAGAGCAGCUUUGGUUCAUGCCGGAGACCAUCUCUUCCUAGUUUGCAAACCGAUAUCACCAAUAAAAUUCUCCUUUCUACUUUUUAGC